UACGGAGGGUGCAAGCGUUACCCGGAAUCACUGGGCGUAAAGGGCAUGUAGGCGGCUAUUUAAGUCUGGAUUUAAAGACCGAGGCUCAACCUCGGGAAUGGUCUGGAUACUGGAUGGCUGGACGACUGGAGGGGAGAGUGGAAUUCUCGGUGUAGCGGUGGAAUGCGUAGAUACCGAGAGGAACACCAGUGGCGAAGGCGGCUCUCUGGACAGUGCGUGACGCUGAGGUGCGAAAGUGUGGGGAGCAAACCGG
rnacentral:rRNA from 1 species